UACAGAGGUCCCGAGCGUUGUUCGGAUUUAUUGGGCGUAAAGGGUGCGUAGGCGGCUUGGUAAGUUGGGUGUGAAAGCCCCGGGCUCAGCCCGGGAAGGGCACUCGAAACUGCCGAGCUGGAGUGCCGGAGGGGAGAGUGGAAUUCCUGGUGUAGCGGUGAAAUGCGUAGAUAUCAGGAGGAAUACCGGUGGCGAAAGCGACUCUCUGGACGGCAACUGACGCUGAGGCACGAAAGCGUGGGGAGCAAACAGG
rnacentral:rRNA from 1 species